rnacentral:rRNA from 1 species
AGUGAACGCUGGCGGCAGGCCUAACACAUGCAAGUCGAACGGUAACAGAGAGAGGCUUGCUUCUUUGCUGACGAGUGUCGGGCGGGUGAGUAAUGUCUGGGGAACUCCCUUAUGGCGUGGGAGAACAACUAGAAACGCUAACUCAUACCGCACAACGUCCCUACACGAAAAAGCAGGAGCUUCGUGCCCCUUGCCAUCUGAUAUGCCCAGAUGGGAUUAGCUAGUAGUUGGGGUAACGGCUCACCUAGGCGACGAUCCCUAGCUGGUCUGAGAGGAUGACCAGCCACACUGGAACUGAGACACGGUCCAGACUCCUACGGGAGGCAGCAGUGGGGAAUAUUGGACAAUGGGCGCAAGCCUGAUGCAGCCAUGCCGCGUGUAUGAAGAAGGCCUUCGGGUUGUAAAGUACUUUUGGCGGGGAGGAAGAGAGGAAAGUUAAUACCUCGGCGUAUUGACGGUACCCGAAGAAGAAGCACCGGCUAACUUCGUG